AUUGAACGCUGGCGGCAGGCCUAACACAUGCAAGUCGAACGGUAACAGGAAACAGCUUGCUGUUUCGCUGACGAGUGGCGGACGGGUGAGUAAUGUCUGGGAAACUGCCUGAUGGAGGGGGAUAACUACUGGAAACGGUAGCUAAUACCGCAUAACGUCGCAAGACCAAAGAGGGGGACCUUCGGGCCUCUUGCCAUCGGAUGUGCCCGGAUGGGAUAGCUAGUUGGUGGGGUAACGGCUUACCUAGGCGACGAUCCCUAGCUGGUCUGAGAGGAUGACCAGCCACACUGGAACUGAGACACGGUCCAGACUCCUACGGGAGGCAGCAGUGGGGAAUAUUGCACAAUGGGCGCAAGCCUGAUGCAGCCAUGCCGCGUGUAUGAAGAAGGCCUUCGGGUUGUAAAGUACUUUCAGCGGGGAGGAAGGGAGUAAAGUUAAUACCUUUGCUCAUUGACGGUACCCGCAGAAGAAGCACCGGCUAACUCCGUG
rnacentral:rRNA from 1 species